GCCGGGCAUAGUGGCGUAUGCCUGUAGUCCCAGCUACUCGGGAGGCUGAGACAGGAAGCUUGCUUGAGCCCGAGAGGUGGAGGUUGCAGUGAGCCAAGAUCGCGCCACUGCACUCCAGCCUGGGUGACAGAGCAAGACUCUGUCUCAA
rnacentral:SRP_RNA from 1 species